AUGUGUUUACAGUUCCAUCUCCUUCAACAUCACAACUGCAGCCACAUCAGUCAAUUUCUGGCAACCGGCAGAAUCAAGGAAGUGUGAAUGAUCCACAAUCUCUUCGAGUUGAAAUCUACAAGUUAUUUGAAAGUUUGGAGAGGAGAAUCAUGCUGAAACUAGACCAAAUCCAGGACAUCAUCACAGCAGCGUUAGGAACAAUGCAGCAGUCAAUGAGCCAGCCAAGCACACCUGUCUCUGAUCUUAUAGAGGUGCUAGAGGUGCCUUGUAAGACUGUGGAGGAAUUAACAGAGCUGUGAGAUAAGCUGAAAGAUGCUGACUUUCGAAAGAAGAUGGUAUGUGCCACAACACAAGCAACAUUACUAGUCAUUGUUAACCUGAAAUCAUUUAAAACAAUUUACUCUUGUGAUUAAUUGCUGAUUGUUGUUUGUAGAUUCGUUAUCUGUGUCUUCAGAGUGGAGGCAGCUUGGGAGAUGGAAUUAGGAGGAUGCUGAAAAAAAUUACAAUUACAAAGGGAGAAAGGGAAAACGUAAAUUUCAGAAGCUCCUAAUCAAUGAUGUCAUCACACAUAAGUUUCAAAACUUGUCACUAAUAACUAAUAACGUGUCUGUGUCAAUCCCCAAGAUCUCAAAAAUGUUUUGGAAUGCAGAAAGGUUGUAAAUAAGAAUGUACAUUGUAAAUGUAAAAGUUGUUAUUUCUCAGUACAUAAAUAUUCAUACCAUGGUCUAUUAUAAAAACAAGAGUAAUGUUGAUGCUUCUUGAAUAGAACUUUAGUCUGAGUUCUAGUUUAAAUAACUGUGAUCUCUGUAUUGACUCAAGGUGCCUGCAGUAAGGCAUACCCACACCAAAAUCCCAGAGUGUGGAGGAAAUGAUUGCUGUGACCCUAAAACAUGCCCCAUAUCAUGCAAAAACAGCAAAGGAGGUGAGUGCAUUAUAACAUUUAAUUCCAGCAGUUAUAAACAAUCAGCAAAAAAAAACAAACAAACAAAAAAAACAUUUAUUAUUCUCACACUGAUGGAUGGUCGAACAGAGUUAGACAGAUAGAUAGAUGGAUAGACAAACAGAUAGAUGGAUAGACAGACAGAUAGAUAAGGACAGACAGAGAGAGAGACAGAUAGAAAGAUAUACAACAGAUUAUAAUUUGUACCUGUUUGUCAGCAUUAUAGCUUUGGGUCACACACUUUGAUCCGGAUGAUCAAACGCAUAAUGGAGUUCCAAAUAUGGAGCGUAAUUAACAAAAAGUUUCUUUAGCUUUACGCUUUAUGUAACAACUCUCCAAAGUGAUGCUGCGGGCAAUAAUAUCAGAACAAUAUCAAAGUACAUAAAAUAACAAUAUAAUACAAUUUACA